rnacentral:rRNA from 1 species
GAGCGCAACCCUUGAACUUAGUUGCCAUCAUUCAGUUGGGCACUCUAAGUUGACUGCCGGUGACAAACCGGAGGAAGGUGGGGAUGACGUCAAAUCAUCAUGCCCCUUAUGAUUUGGGCUACACACGUGCUACAAUGGACAAUACAAAGGGCAGCGAAACCGCGAGGUCAAGCAAAUCCCAUAAAGUUGUUCUCAGUUCGGAUUGUAGUCUGCAACUCGACUACAUGAAGCUGGAAUCGCUAGUAAUCGUAGAUCAGCAUGCUACGGUGAAUACGUUCCCGGGUCUUGUACACACCGCCCGUCACACCACGAGAGUUUGUAACACCCGAAGCCGGUGGAGUAACCAUUUUGGAGCUAGCCGUCGAAGGUGGGACAAAUGAUUGGGGUGAAGUCGUAACAAGGUAGCCGUAUCGGAAGGUGCGGCUGGAUCACCUCCUUU